AGCAAAGUUGCACAGGCGUUUAUUUCGAAUGGUUGUGUGUGCGUACAAGAGAGGUUUGGCACAGUCAAUAAGCUAUUCAAGGAGUGGUCUAUGCGUUGGUAGGAAGCGGGAGACAACCGGAGACUUCCUCAGCAUCGGCAGAUGACUUUGGCGUGGUGACAGAAGAAUGGUCUUUACUGCCACUGCGGCCUCUUGUUAUCCCACACAAUACCUAAGAAAGUUGUAUGGGUGUGAAUGGUUAGAAAUGACGACCGACUGACAGUGAACAAAGACACUCACCUGCCUGUUCAUCUGGAGGUGGUCCAGAGGAUCCAGUCCCUAGGCAGAAUUUAAGACUGUCCCUGCUCUGGAUUAGACCGAGAAGCCACAUCACUGAGAAGACAGCUGAAGAAGAAGAUUUCCGUCUUCUGGGUUGUUGCGCUGUGUAGUCUGGUCGAUGUUAACCAACGUUUCAGAGGUCAAUCUGAUUAACUGUAGAUAAAAGGAGACUGAGCACUGUGAAGUAAAGAAAGGAUUGCUGCUUGAAUACCACACCAUUACCCCAUAAGGCAGUGGUAUUCAACCUUUUUUGUUCGCGUACCCCCAGAUAUAAUUUCUCUUCAACUUUG